rnacentral:rRNA from 1 species
GACGAACGCUGGCGGCGUGCUUAACACAUGCAAGUCGAACGGUGACGAUCAAGCUUGCUUGAUCUGAUCAGUGGCGAACGGGUGAGUAACACGUGAGCAACCUGCCCCAGACUCUGGGAUAACCCCGGGAAACCGGAGCUAAUACCGGAUAUGACACUCGCACGCAUGUGCAGGGUGUGGAAAGUUUUUCGGUCUGGGAUGGGCUCGCGGCCUAUCAGCUUGUUGGUGAGGUAGUGGCUCACCAAGGCGACGACGGGUAGCCGGCCUGAGAGGGCGACCGGCCACACUGGGACUGAGACACGGCCCAGACUCCUACGGGAGGCAGCAGUGGGGAAUAUUGCACAAUGGGCGCAAGCCUGAUGCAGCAACGCCGCGUGAGGGACGACGGCCUUCGGGUUGUAAACCUCUUUUAGUAGGGAAGAAGCGAAAGUGACGGUACCUGCAGAAAAAGCACCGGCUAACUACGUGCCAGCAGCCGCAGUAAGAC